GUAAGCUCGCCUUCUGAGCGCUUUCAAGUUUAUUUGUACUCUGAAAACUUUAGCAUUUCUCUCUCUCUCUCUCUCUCUCUCUCUCUCUCUCUCUCUCCUUCUCUCCCUCUCCUUCCUUCAAUAACUCUGAGAGCAUAUUAGAAUUUAAAGUGGGAGGGCACACUUGUCCUCUGCUCAAUUUGCAGCACCAAGGUCUAGUUUUGCGAAGGCAGCACGGUGAGCAGAGCCUGUGGCCGUCGCAUCCCCAGGCCUAACUUUAAUUGCUGCACAACCGCGGAUGUUAAUGACUUCCGUUGCUCCUGCCGGCGUGCAAAAAAGAUGAUUUUGUGUGCGAAUGGGCCUGUGUGUGUAGACUUGGCAGGGGACCCCCUCAUUCCAGGCCCGGGUGGGUCCCGGCUCUUUGGGGGUCGAGGAGUCCCGGGGUGGGGGCUGGGAGACAGUGGGGCGCCGGCUGCGGGCGCCGGAGCUGCUCUCGGGAGUUUGAAAGAAAGGCCAGGGAGGGCCGAGGAGGACUCUGGCGGAAUUCCUUACGGGGCUGUGGCAAUAUGUCUUCGCUGGCCAGGGUCAUUUGGCAGGACUGAAUUGAGGCGGCCUUCGGGGCCAGGUUUCAGGCUGGUUCUGGAAAGCAGGAGGGUGGCAGAGGCUGGCGAGGCGCGGGCUGCACCUCCAGGCUGGGUCCCUGGGUUUCGAGGCCGAGACCAAGCUGCUAGUACCCGUAGCACUCUGGGGACCGAGGGUCCCCAUCCGAGGAGAGCAGCACCCGCUAUCCCGCACCCAGGCCCAGGCCCUGAACCUUGUUUGCCUGCACAUUCUUUUUAUUUCGCUGGGACAGUUCUCACCCGCCUGUGAGUCUGAAGCAAUAAAGUUUAUGGCCGGAUUUAACUUUAAUCUUUGUAUCCCCAGGCUAAUUGAAAGGGGUUAAAGUACUUUCUUUUCUUCCGGCCUGCCUUUCUUCUGCCUCUCUUCUUUUCCUUUUCCUCUCCUUCUUUGUAGAAUUAAAACAUCUAUGCAUAGGACCCUCAAAAGGCAAGUUAGGUGUCCCCCUAGAUAGCACUAAAGAUUAGAGAAAUUUACUCUUACUCAACACAGAAAAUCUCUCUUCCAAACUGUGUCCUAAAGUUUGGGGGGGAAAUCGAGGUGUCUUCAAUGACCAACUUAAAAGUCCCCACAGCCAUUAAGUUGUUUUUCCUGACACAUCAUAAAGCCUAGUUUAGGAAAGAAAGUGGUCGUUUGUCAGUAGGAGAUUUCCUACUCUCUUUUGUUAGUUGCUUUUUCUGUUUGAUCUCAGGAAAUUUACAUAAUCUAUGAUUUCCAAAACAGUCUCCAAAAUUGCACCAAGGAGUAAAGUAAGGCGAAAUAAAUUUUUCCUGGGUACAAUUCUAUCUUGGCCCCAGCUACCCUUCUGCUCCCAGGCCCCCAUAUUCUUCAGUGGCAAAGCACACCAAGUGACUGGGGACAUUGUGGCAGUUCUGGGGUCUUUUGAGGGGAUAUCCACAAGGGACCUUGCAGAUUUCCCCCAAUCCUUUUUGAGAAGUUAAGGCAAAUCUCAAACUGCAUUGACAAACAACAAAGAAUGGGAUCUGCUAUUUUCUUGAGAGCUAGGUAGUUUCCUGCAGGUACUCAUUAGUAUAGAUAUUUACCAAGUGCUUAAAGAAAAAUGUUUUUAAAAUUUAGAUUUGGAAUUUCUACAAACUUUAUCGUGCAAAGGUGAUGAUCUACACUCAGAAUAAAUCCAAAAGAUGUCCUUAAAGUCAGAAAUUCCAAAAUCAAAACUUCAAAAGUUUUGUUUUGAGAAAUUAAAACCCUCCAUUAAGUCUUACUUUUCAUAAAUAGUGUGGUAAGAUGAAGAAGUGAAUUUUGGUAUUUCUGCACUCAGGAAGAGGUGUCCACAUCUUAUAGGAACCAGAAUAAAAAUUCUAAAUGUGUGGGUUCUGUCUUAUGUGUCUGCAAGAGUUCUGGAUUUGUUAUUUUGCUGCUCUGAGUUUGGGGACCUUUGUUGGAAAACAUUGGGUUUUGGCUCCACUUUGGUCAUUCAUUUGGUGAUCUUGCUUAAGUGAUUUCUUGGUGAUUGAGAUUAGAUGCGGAAGAAAAGAGUCCUAGAGAUGCUGGCAGUUUCCUCUGAGUAUCUUGGGUGAAAAAAGUGUCCAAUUCUACCUGAGGCUGAGUUGUUGGAAUCAUAUCCAACAUCAUAAAACACAGAUAAUCUCUCCUGAAAUUUUAAAAAAAUACAGGCCAUAAAUAUUGUCAGCUUACUCAUUUCUGUCUGUGUUAAUCUUCACAAAACUUGAAGAGAAUUUAAGAGUGCACAUCAGCCUAUAUGGGGUUUAAUGACUUGUAAGAAAUACAGCAUCCAGUCAGUCCUAGGUGAAUGUUAUUGGAGGGAUUUUUUUCUUUCCUCCUAUUUUAAUAGGGUGCAUACUAAAGAAAUUAUCUGCUUUCUGCUCAUUUUGUAGAUAAGUUACUUCUUCUUAUGCAUCCUUUUGCACUGUUUCUGCAGAGGAACUAACUUUUGAAAAAUCACUGUCACUGAGAGCUUUAUGAGGACACCCAGCCUCAGCCGGUGGCUGAAGUGUGAUUCUGUGCUCCUCCUCAUCUUGUAAAAGGAGAAGGCAGCAGAAAUAUGCAGGGGCUCCUUUGUUUCCACAAGACUAAGAGACAAUAUUUCCUGAACUGUAAAUAUAAUAGGAAGCUUCUGGUCACACUCACUUGGGGUUUGUUAGGGUUUCCAUGGUCUAAUUUCACAACAUUAUGCCAAGAUUCCCUUUCUCUCAUGCACUUUCCCCUGCUGCAUUGUUGGCGGCUCUGGGAGAGCAAGACAGAAUUUUCUCCCAGAAGCAGUUAUGUUCAUUUGUUGAGAUCUAGAGUUCCAAAUAAUCACAUCCUAAAAGAUGGCCUAUUAAGGGGGAAAACAAUCCUUUUAGCUUGAAAGAUGCCUUUAGUGUCUCUCCUGCCUUGGCUGAGGAUCUGCCGAUGGCAUGCCCACCUUGGAGAGGGCAGAGUAUUGUGAGCUCCAUCCCUUUGGCUUCUAAGGGGAAUUCCCUUUCAGCCAAUGAUAAAACUAUAAGUGGGGCUCCCAGGCAAGGUUGAGGGGGUCAGCCUCGACUCCUAGCACAUAUGGGAGUGGAUCCACAGUCUUAGCCAUUCUAAGCCCCACCACUGGAGGAUCAGAUAGGUUUGUUUUGUUUGGUGUUUUGCACAAAGAGAUUUGUCCUUCUCCCACCAGAUCUCUUCUCCACAAACCAGUCUUUUCAAUAAUAAUAUCUGUUAUGAAGGUUAUUAGGUAAUUAUUGCGAUUUUGUGAAGCAGCCCUUGCUGGAGGUGAAGUCUGUCAUCGCCUAACAAAUGAUGCCCAUGCAGUUCACUGCCGGGUUAAGUAAAUGCAGAGAAGAUAAAUCUGCACACCCUAGGAAUCGCCAGCAGAGCACGCUUUAGUACAAGUUCACAAUCAACUUGCCUGCCUGGGCCAGCUCUCCCUACAAUUAGGGCUGUGUCUUUAUCUUUAAAGAAAAAAGUCUUCACUUCUCAUUGCUGGCUUUCCCCCAUCUUUUUUCUUUCAUUUUUUUGCAAGAUUCUUUUGUAUUCCAAAUUUUCAUUGUUAGUGGAAUCAUAAGUGAUUUCCAUUUACUCUAGUUCCUAUCUAUGUGCUGACAAAAAGAAGUAAGAGGCUAAUUUAACAGGAAAUACAAUCAUGAACACAUAAAAAUAUCCAGCUCAUCCUCUAAUUCCAAAGGCUGUGGCAGAAGCAGGGCAUCCUGAGAUCCUCAGGACCUCUUCCCCCUGAAUGAAGAAGCUCAGCUUUGUGUAUCUUUGUGGUUAGUGUGUUACAACUACGGGUCAAAAAGUUGAGGGUCAAAAGUUUACAUUGUGCAGCACUCUUAGUCAUCUGCCCAGACAGAGUUUGAUGUCAAUGUUAGAGCUGCGAUCUUGACUAUCAGCACAAAAGAUAAAAUGGCUCAGAGUGACGCGUGUAUCACAGUAUGGACUCCAGGUGAACCCUAGUGGUUGAAUGACCUCAAUUACGGAGGAAAGGAUAGAAAAUUCCUCUUUUCAAGAGUAAUACAUGCUGUAUUUCAUGUUGAAUUAUCGCUCCCAUUCUGAGGGAAUAGCAGAAGGUAAAUAGGCAUAGAUUACUGAAACACCAGCACUUUAGAUGUUGGGGAACCAGGAGUGGUUUGUGGGUUUGUCACCAAAUAAAAAUGCUCAAAAUUCAGUAGUGGGCCUUUAAGAAAUAAUGUAGCAAGUUCGCAAUGUUGCAUUUAUACCCUCAAAGGCAAGAGAACAGCAUAGCAAACCUCUUUAAUUUGAAAAAGAGAAUUUGGAUUGACCAGAGUUAUUUUUUUUCCUUUGAGCACAUACAGUGACUCCUAAAACCUGCAAGAAUAAGGGCAAAUGCAGCCACUUUUUGAAAAAUGUGUUCUUUGCAAUUUUCAAACAUAGAAAAUGCUUUUUCUGAAAUUGUAACCCACUGAAUGCAAGUGAUUCUUAGAGAUGGGAAGAGGAGGGAAGGAGGUGGAACAGAAUUCCCACCACCACCACCAGUGAGACAAUGCUGAUUGGUGUGAGGAAAACAUUCACAUUGUUGAAAUUGCUGAAAAUUUUUGUUAUAUUUAUUAAAAACCACAACUGAGUUUAAAAUAAAUGCUACAAUCUACAAGUGAAUAACUGUAGAGAAUGCAGAAAGGUAGAAUCCAUAAUUGCCAGGCCACUUUGUAAGACCACCAUGAUAGACUUCUGUUCUCCAGAAAAUACUUCUUGAAAAUACAUGUGGAGUUGCGGGGAGGUGGCUGAGGAGAGGGGAAAGCAAGCCGAGGAGGAAGGGUGGGAGAGUAGAAAAGAAAGGGAAUAGUAUAUUAAAGAAGCAGACUGGAACCAUGAGAAAUGUGUGAAUUGGAACUGAAGAGCUAAACAAUAUUAUAUGGAUCUAGAUUAGCUUUAAGUGUUGAUGGCAUUAGAAUCUAUUUUUCUAUGCAUCUUUUUUUCUAUGUAUUGACCUUCAAGUGAUUAUUGUAGGAAAACAGUGGGAAAAGAAACCAUUUUCCUAGGGUUUUCUUCUUAAUUCUGGAGAUAAUCCAACUACUUAGAAUGUAGACUCUUGCAGAGAUGUUUAAGAUCAUCCCAAUGUAUUCAGGUUGAUUAGGUUUAAUAGUGCCAGGUAUGUUCAGUGGUGAAGUAAAUAUUUCCCAAACACUGCUUUCAUGGAAGUAAUCAAGGUGCUUCUACUGGGCAGUGUGUAAAGUUUUUACUCUGGCCAAGAGCUUAGAGCCAAAUGGGGUUUUGCCAGAUGAAAUAGAAGAAAGGAAACAACUGUGGCGAGUGCCCUUACAGUAGUGAACACAUUACCACAUCUGGGCUAGUGAAAUGAAAAAAGCCCCAAAACUUCCUCUCUUAUGCAGACAAUUAUGUCUCUUUGAGAGAAACUUUUCAUUGUACUUUUUGUUAAAACAGUGUAACACAUCUUAGAAUCAUUUUAGCUUCAAUACUCAUAGAUACUUCCAAGCUAGUCUUUAAAAUGAAAGAAAAUGAUACUGCCAGAAGUUACAGUGUUUUUAGAAAUCUCUUUAUUCAGAUUUUGAUCUUUAGGCCUCUCACACAAUCCUGUUUAAAAUUUAUGUGAAAUUCCAAAAUGAAUUGCAGUCCUUAUGCCUGGAUUGUGCUCAUCAUUUUAAACGGCUGCUAGGAAACUACCUCCAAACAAUGAAUGGGUCAAAUGUUUGGUAAAGUGUUAUUACUCUACAAUGAUGUCUAGGGUAGGUGAGGGGAAGACCUUAAAUGCCACCGUCAGGCAUUUUGAAUUUCUGCCUUUCUCCAGUUUGCUCCAGAGACGGACAGAUAGAAAACAGUCUGGUUGAGUCUGGCCCCAAAGAACAAAGGACAAAUACAGUCAAUACAUUCCAUGAUGUUUACAUUUCCUUUGCUUUUUCCCUUGGUUUUUCCUGAGAAGGAAUGACCUGGGCAAAGCACUCUGCUCUUUAAGAGACACUGUAUAGACCUUUUAGAAGUGCAAAGUCCAAGGCCGAGGUGAACUUCAGGUCAGCGCGUCUAACAAAUAUGAAAAUGUCGGCUGGUGAAGGGCGCGCCUUGUGAUUUAACAAAGACUGUCAAUGUGUAAGAUUAAUAAGAAACAAAAUGCACAUGGUGUCACUGUUCGGUCACUUUGAAACUUGGGACGGGGCUGCAUUCAAGAGGGAAGGCUGUUCCAAAUAUAUUCAAAAUGAUUCAAAUCAGAUUCAAACCAAGCUGCAAACACUGCCUCCCUCUCACCCUCCCUCUCCCUUGGGCUCGCUUCGCUCUCCUUCUGCAUCUGGGAUGUGAGGACACCAUGAAAAGUUAUUUCUCUUAAUGGGAUUUUAAGAAAGCUUUUGUUGGGAAUAUAUGUUAUUCCUCCAUGUGGAAAUGAACAAAUGUGCUUACCAGUUUCCCAAGAAAAGGAUAACGUUUUCACCCUGCUUGGGACUGGAGCCAGUUGGUGUGCGAAGAUUAGCUUGCUCCCUCUCUGCCCCAUUUCAGAGCAUCCUAUCUUUUCUUAAGCAAGAUGCUUCUGGUAAACUUCAGUUUAUUUUUAAAUUGAGUUAGUAUCUUCCUGGUUUCCCUUUGGUGUUUUGGAUCUUACAUGAGGGCAAGAGGUGUUUUCUUAAAGGUGUUUUUCAAAAGAUUAUUUGAUUCAACAGAAUUAUGCUAUGGCUUGCAAAGGGAGAUUGUGUACGGUUCAGAAAAGGUACUGAGAUUGUUUAUUAUAGCCAUAAAUCUUGCAGUAAAAUGUCAAAAUGUCCGUGUGUGAGAUAACACUUGGUGGUCCUGGCUCCGUUUGUGUUUAUGAUAGGAACCGCAAAGACAAGUUACAGGCCUUGGGGGAAUUCUGUGUAAGCCCAUCUUCCUAAAGUAAUAGGACUGCACAAAACAUAGGCACAGUUAACUCAUUUAGGGUAACCGUAUACAAAUCAGUGCCUGUGUCUACUUAAUACUUAAAAAUAGAAACUCCGUAGAAGGUUCUGAGGCUGAACAACGUGAAUGCUGUGUUUCAGUGUCUGUAAAUUUUAAAUAGACAUAGUUAAGACCCUGGGACUCAAAGCUGACGAUGUGAGAAAGACAAGAUUUCCUUGUCAUGCUUUUUCUCCCCCUGAAGCUUAGAAAGACACUAUUUUAGAAUAGCGACCAUGCUAGUUUACAUUGCUUUAAUCUAGCCUGAAAAGUAGAGGACCUAGGUAUGUUUAUAAGUCAGAGGGAGAUUUCUGAUAUUGCUAUACAUUAUAUAAUUACACUCUAUGUACAUAUUAUUUUUUUUUCUUACCAGGGAGAGGUAUUGGUUUAGGCAGCUGUAUUACAGGCUAGAUCCCUCCCCCCAGUCUAGAAAGGAUGUCUAAAGAGUACAGUCAGUGUUGAUUUCUGUCUGACUCAGAUUUCAUUAAAAACAAAAUUUUUCCAGAGCACCUCACAUCGAUGGACAGCACUCCUCACAUACACCCAAUGUGGAAAACCUCUUUGUACCACUUCAGGGCAAUUUCAGAUUCCAGUCAGAGAGCUAACAUGAUCCCUUUUUUAACCUAUUUUCCUAAAUUAGCUUAAAGAUUAGUCCCAUAUAAUAGGCUUUAUGUGGCUAAGCAUUAAAUGACUAUCCAUCAAAUGGAUAUAUUCCAGCAUUUAGUAAUUCAUAUGAGUAACCGAUAUAAAUGAAGAUAGAAUUGACAUUCUUUUUGAAGUGUCUACAGGCUUGGGCUGUAACUUUCCUUGUCUUCGUUCCAGACUUAGUUGUGAGAAAUGUUUAUACUGCUCUUUGAAAAUUCAACUAAGGUGAACCAGCUGAAAUAUCCUUGUUUUGCAUGCCAACAUGAAAGUUAUUUUUAGAAUAGUGACAAUGCUAGUUUACACUGCUUUAAUCUAGCCUGAAAAGUAUAGGUCCUAGGUGUGUUUAUAAGUCAGAAAAGGGAAGGCACACAUUAAGAAUAAGGUAUCAGUAUUUACUCCAAAGAUCAACAUUAGGUAGAAUGAAUAAGUAAUUUAUUUGUUAAUAAUGGCAUAAUUAGUUUACCCAUCAAAUUUCAAUUACCAAAUGGCAGGCAACAGUUCCCUCUCCCUCCUUCCGGAACUAUUGAUAUCGUUAAUAUGUUAAUUUUCAGCAAUUCAAAAAUUAUAGACCAUCCUGUAAAUAUAACUCUAGCCCCAGAUGCAUUUUGAGAAAGCAGCGUCCAGAAAAGAAAGAAAAUUCUUAGCUUGAAAAGCCUUAUUCGCGGUCAGACCCGACAAGGGCUUGUUGGGAAAUUGUUCUAAAAUAGGAAGGUACUGGUUUCAAAGCUCGGUUUUGUGGAGGCACUGCUUCUAUCCAUUCCCAUCCUUGGGCCGGUCUCUCACAGUCGCAUCUAGUAAAAACAGACAUAUUUAGUUUUCAUGUCCACACCUCCGUCAAAUUAGAUGCUAUUAGGAAGGACCCCAAAAAUUUUUUAGGUAAAGAGAGUCAGUCUCUAAAAGAAUAAAAAAGAAAAAAAAUAUAUAGAAAGUGUCCAUCUGGUUACAUCGGGACGGCCCCGCUUUACAUCCUUGUGUAGAUUUCUCUAAGCUGCCCUCCCAUCCACUCUUUGAGGCUCCUGCCAGACUUCUCAAAGCCAGGACUCUGCAGCAGACCAGAGACCAGACCGCAGUGUGUGGGGAAGGCAUCAACGGGUGAGAAAAUGGUUAGCCUCGAACCCUGGAUUACUGCGCGGCCUGACUGAACCGUAGGUCAGCGCGGAGCCACAGCAGCCUAGCUACUCAGAUGGGCAGGUCAGAAGUAGGACCCGCAUCCGGCCCCAGAGGACCCACAGCCUGCCAAGCCUUGAAUUCCCCGCAGGAAUUCAAGUCAGUGGAGCUGGAGGACCGAAGCCCCAGCUCACUGCCCCCGCCUCGGGCGGGACAGCGACAUCCAUCACCCACCCGCGCGUUUCCUGAUCCGGGUCCGCGCGCGCGGAGCGCC
ensembl:lncRNA